AGAAGAACCAGAUCUUUCUAUAAUUAAGUUAAGCGAAAAUUAGGUACCACACAAAUCACCCCCUCUUGUGUAGUAUUGAAGUCUAAAACAUCACGAUGAAAGGAGGAUACAUAUGUCAGUCUCCAAAAAGGCAUAUAAGCAACAGUUUAGAAAAAAAGGAAUUAAAUAUAUGACCAACAAAUGAUAAUAGUAUUUGAUAUUUUGCCACAAAAAACUUUAAAAAAAAAUGCUUCUUCUAAUUCAUGAUUGAACGUGCAAGAGAAAGUGAAGACAGAUGACCGAAGCUUGAAUUUUUGGUGACGACAUGUAUUGAUAACACUGUCCAACAUCGUUUCCCUAUUAAAAUAAAUAAAUCAAAAGAGGAAAAUGUGAAGAAUAUCAUAUUUGAACCAAGAAUUUAUGAUUGAAUAAAAAGAAAAAGGAAAAAAAAGUUACCAGCCCUUUCCCCCUUAAAUUUCCAACUUGAGUUGAAUUCCAAGUCAUAUCACAUAUGGAUUUCCAGAAGAAAUGAGGAAUUUUCAUUUUAUCCAUGGAGAGAAAGAAAAGACAUUAGUGUUUGAAAUUGUAGUUAUCAAGAAGGAGGAAGAAAGGGUUUGGUACAAAUUAAUGGGCUGUUACUAUCAAGGAAGGAAAAAUGAAACGGUUGGGUUGUCAAUUAGAUUAACAGGUGAACGAAAGCAGAAGAAAUUU
rnacentral:lncRNA from 1 species